UGCGGGGGGGGCAAGCGUUGUUCGGAAUUACUGGGCGUAAAGGGUUCGUAGGUGGCCAACUUAGUCAGACGUGAAAUCCCUCGGCUUAACCGGGGAACUGCAUCUGAUACUGGAUGGCUUGAGUUCGGGAGAGGGAUGCGGAAUUCCAGGUGUAGCGGUGAAAUUCGUAGAUAUCGGGAGGAACACCAGUGGCGAAGGCGGCAACCUGGGCCAAUAUUGACGCUGAGGUGCGAAAGCGUGGGGAGCAAACAGG
rnacentral:rRNA from 1 species